GAUGAACGCUAGCUACAGGCUUAACACAUGCAAGUCGAGGGGCAGCAUGAUUGAAGCUUGCUUCAAUCGAUGGCGACCGGCGCACGGGUGAGUAACACGUAUCCAACCUGCCGAUAACUCGGGGAUAGCCUUUCGAAAGAAAGAUUAAUACCCGAUAGUAUAGUAUUUCCGCAUGGUUUCACUAUUAAAGAACUUCGGUUAUCGAUGGGGAUGCGUUCCAUUAGAUAGUUGGCGGGGUAACGGCCCACCAAGUCAACGAUGGAUAGGGGUUCUGAGAGGAAGGUCCCCCACAUUGGAACUGCGACACGGUCCACACUCGUACGGGAGGCAGCAGUGAGGAAUAUUGGGCAAUGGACGAGAGUCUGAACCAGCCAAGUAGCGUGAAGGAUGACUGCCCUAGGGGUUGAAAACUUCUUUUAUACGGGAAUAAAGUGGAGUAUGCAUACUCCUUUGUAUGUACCGUAUGAAUAAGGAUCGGCUAACUCCGUG
rnacentral:rRNA from 1 species